rnacentral:rRNA from 1 species
CGUGUAGGCGGCCUCUUAAGUCUGAUGUGAAAGCCCGGGGCUUACCCCCGGAAGGGCAUUGGAAACUGGGAGACUUGAGUACCGGAGAGGAAGGUGGAAUUCCUGGUGUAGCGGUGAAAUGCGUAGAUAUCAGGAGGAACACCGGUGGCGAAGGCGGCCUUCUGGACGGAUACUGACGCUGAGACGCGAAAGCGUGGGGAGCAAACAGGAUUAGAUACCCUGGUAGUCCACGCGGUAAACGAUGGGCACUAGGUGUUCGGGGUAUUGACCCCCUGAGUGCCGCAGCUAACGCAUUAAGUGCCCCGCCUGGGGACUACGGCCGCAAGGUUAAA